rnacentral:rRNA from 1 species
GUGGGGAAUUUUCCGCAAUGGGCGAAAGCCUGACGGAGUGACGCCGCGUGUGGGACGAAGGCCUUCGGGUCGUAAACCACUGUCAGUGGGAAAGAAGGGUGUCGGCGCGAUAACCGCUGGCGCCUGACGGUACCUGCAGAGGAAGCCCCGGCUAACUCUGUGCCAGCAGCCGCGGUAAGACAGAGGGGGCAAGCGUUGCUCGGAAUUACUGGGCGUAAAGGGCGCGUAGGCGGGAUGGCAAGUCGGUCGUGAAAUCCCUCGGCUCAACUGAGGAAUGUCGAUCGAUACUGCCGUUCUUGAGGGUUGCAGAGGAGACUGGAAUUCCCGGUGUAGCGGUGAAAUGUGUAGAGAUCGGGAGGAACACCGGUGGCGAAGGCGGGUCUCUGGGCAAUUCCUGACGCUGAGGCGCGAAAGCGUGGGGAGCAAACGGGAUUAGAUACCCGAGUAGUCC